rnacentral:rRNA from 1 species
GAUGAACGCUGGCGGCGUGCCUAAUACAUGCAAGUCGAGCGAACAGACGAGGAGCUUGCUCCUCUGACGUUAGCGGCGGACGGGUGAGUAACACGUGCAUAACCUACCUAUAAGACUGGGAUAACUUCGGGAAACCGGAGCUAAUACCGGAUAAUAUAUCGAACCGCAUGGAUCAAUAGUGAAAGACGGUUUUGCUGUCACUUAUAGAUGGAUCCGCGCCGCAUUAGCUAGUUGGUAAGGUAACGGCUUACCAAGGCGACGAUGCGUAGCCGACCUGAGAGGGUGAUCGGCCACACUGGAACUGAGACACGGUCCAGACUCCUACGGGAGGCAGCAGUAGGGAAUCUUCCGCAAUGGGCGAAAGCCUGACGGAGCAACGCCGCGUGAGUGAUGAAGGUCUUCGGAUCGUAAAACUCUGUUAUUAGGGAAGAACAAAUGUGUAAGUAACUAUGGACGUCUUGACGGUACCUAAUCAGAAAGCCACGGCUAACUACGUG